rnacentral:misc_RNA from 1 species
GAAUAUUAUCAGAAAGCGCGCCUUUCGAGUCCGCCACUACUAGGCUGGCACUAGAAGGAGAAGAAAACGUACAUAAUACGCGAUAUAGAUUACCCUAUCAUAUAAGCCAUUUUGAUGCAUGACAGUGAUUGGCUAAAUCGAUGAGAUUUAUAUUGUACGGAGAGGAUUCAAUGUUGGAGUAGGGUUCAUGAUAGUCCCUGUUUCCUCUGACUCUUGCCAAAGAAGAUUGCGCACCCGCGUAAUUUUUGAAUUGUAUACAGUACAGAGAAGAAGACAGAGUUAUAAAAAAAAUUUAUCUAAUAAAAGAAGAGAAGUAGUGGGUGUGAUUGUGUGUCUGGUCUGGCGCUUGCUGGGUGGUGGUGGUGGUGGUGGUGAUUGAUGAAGAGGAAAACCCUAAAGGGAAGCAAUAGGAGGAGGAGAGAGAGCAGUAAAAUGAAGGGCACUUUAGCAAGGCACUUGCAGGUUCAGAUGGGACAAAUCUCUGUGAUUCCUCUCCAGUACCAGCAAUCGUCUUCUUCCACCGCAGCCGUGUCUAAUUCUUCUUCUCGCUUCCAGAACGUUCUAGAUUCUGAAGGGUCCGACCCACAGUUCCAUUCUUCAACGGAAAACCCUAGCAUUGGCGACGUCGAUGUUGAUGAGAAAGAUUUCAUUCUCAGUCAGGACUUCUUCUGCACUCCAGAUUAUAUAACACCAGUGGAUCAAAAUUUACUGAACAGCUUUGGUCACAACAAGGAAAACAUGUUAUGCCCUGAAUCACCAGAGAAGCUAAACACUAUUAAAACCAAAAAACGUAGACAGGAUGUUAUCUUAGCCAAUCCUCUCAGCCCUACCUUGUCUGACCAGCAACAAAAUUUGGAGAUUGCCAAUGAUACUUUUGGUACAGAUGAAGUGAAGAUUGAGAUAACACCAGUAACUGGAACUCAAAGAUGCCAAAAUUAUGUGUCACAAUCUGCUGUUGCCUUGCGCUGUCGGGUUAUGCCCCCUCCUUGCAUAAAGAACCCAUAUCUAAUGGAUUCCUCGGAAGUGGAUGUAGAUCCAUAUGGCAAUCAAAGAUCAAAAUGUGCAGUUUUUUUCUCCGCAAUUGUUGGUGGGGAUGGCCUUUCUCGCUAUCACACAGAUUUUCAUGAGAUGCAGGUAUCCGUCCUGGAUCUAGGAAUUCUCAAUUCUUUCAGAAUCAUCUUUUAGUGGUUGUGUAAAUUAUUGGGCUUUGCUUCCCUUUAUAGCAAAUUGGCACUGGAAAUUUCAGCCGUGUUUUCAAAGUAUUGAAGAGAAUUGAUGGUUGCUUGUAUGCUGUGAAACAUAGCACAAGGCAGUUACAUCAAGAUGCAGAGAAGUAGUUUCUAUACGCAGUUUUAGAUACUUCCAUUUUUUAUUCAAUCAACUAGCUUAGACUGAACUGUUAGCAUUUUUCAGGAGGAAAGCUUUGAUGGAGGUUCAGGCUCUAGCAGCUUUAGGAUGUCAUGAAAACAUUGUUGGAUAUUACUCCUCUUGGUUUGAAAAUGAGCAACUCUACAUUCAAAUGGAACUCUGUGAUUGCAGCUUAUCCAUUAAUAAAUCUUCCAAAUCAUUCACAGAGGACAAAGUGUUAGAAGUCUUGCAUCAGAUUGCUAAGGCAUUGCAGUUCAUCCAUGAAAGAGGAAUUGCUCACUUAGAUGUAAAACCUGAUAAUAUUUAUGUCAAGAAUGGAGUUUAUAAACUUGGUGACUUUGGAUGUGCAACACUCCUUAAUCAGAGCUUGCCAAUUGAAGAGGGUGAUGCACGUUAUAUGCCUCAAGAAAUCUUGAAUGAGAAUUACAAUCAUCUUGACAAAGUUGACAUCUUUUCCUUUGGAGCUGCUAUUUAUGAGCUUAUCAGAGGGUUACCUUUGUCCCAAUCAGGAUCUCAAUUUUUUAACCUUAGGGAGGGGAGACUGCCAAUUCUUCCUGGCCACUCAUUGCAAUUUCAGAACUUACUCAAGGCCAUGCUAGAUCCAGAUGCAGUUCGGAGGCCUUCUGCUAAAGAAAUACUAGAGAGUUCAAUAUUUGACAAGCUUCAAAGAAAACUCAAUCAAGUGAAAUCUUAGUUGGAUUCUUGGGAAAGGAAUUUUUGUAUAUGGUGCCUCUAAUGAUCAGCUGCUGUAGCUAAGCGAGCUGUGCCAACACACUGAAUGGACAAUUUUGUAACAACAGUUCCUUCUUCAGUACAUUCACCAAUUUUUCUCCCGGUCAAAGUGCAGGUGUUGUAGAGUUAAGAGGAAGGUUGUCCUCAAAUAAAUCUGUUUAUGGACUGGAGGUAUGCAAUUUAUUAAAGUACCCUCUUUAUUUUUAGUAAUCAGUGUACAAAAUUUGGCAAUGGAAUGUGAAUCAGACAGGAAGGAGUAUCAAAUUAAAAUUGUUGAGAACUUGAGCUAACUAGCAAAUAGCCAAAUACAGAUGUUAGAUUACUUUUGCUCUCUAAUCUGGUUCAGAUAACCAUUUGAUUACAACAAAAU